rnacentral:misc_RNA from 1 species
GCCAUACUUAUGUCUCCUUUAGUCUUCGCUAGUACUGUGGUAGCAUAACUUCUCAAUGAGUCAUCCCCAUUCAUAAUCUGAAUAAACCGAUCAGCCUCCUCUUUAUAAGCCUCUAUAGAGGCAUUUGGUAGCAUGCAACUAUCAUCAUGGAAAUUUUUACUACCGGCUUCACUGUUUUGAUUCUGCAAAGGAAGAGGCAGCGUUUUACUGAAGAACUUUGUUAUAGUACAUUGCUUUGGUCCACCAGAUUCCAUACUCGUAUGUCCUUUUGCUUUUUCAAAUGACUUGUUUCCAGUACUUCUCUUCCUUAUACCAGGAGAAACUUUGUUGCUACUGGAACUGGACUUGUUUCCAGUACUUCUCUU